rnacentral:rRNA from 1 species
AGCCUGAUGCAGCCAUGCCGCGUGUGUGAAGAAGGCCUUCGGGUUGUAAAGCACUUCAGGUGAGGAAGGUGGUGGUUAAUAGCGUCAUUUGACGUUAGCGACAGAAGAAGCACCGGCUAACUCCGUGCCAGCAGCCGCGGUAAUACGGAGGGUGCGAGCGUUAAUCGGAAUUACUGGGCGUAAAGCGCAUGCAGGUGGUUUGUUAAGUCAGAUGUGAAAGCCCGGGGCUCAACCUCGGAAUAGCAUUUGAAACUGGCAGACUAGAGUACUGUAGAGGGGGGUAGAAUUUCAGGUGUAGCGGUGAAAUGCGUAGAGAUCUGAAGGAAUACCGGUGGCGAAGGCGGCCCCCUGGACAGAUACUGACACUCAGAUGCGAAAGCGUGGGGAGCAAACAGGAUUAGAUACCCUGGUAGUCCACGCCGUAAACGAUGUCUACUUGAG